AGCGGCGGACGGGUGAGUAACACGUGGGUAACCUGCCUCAAAGAGGGGGAUAGCCUCCCGAAGGGGAGAUUAAUACCGCAUAACAUUAUUUUCUCGCAUGAGAAGAUAAUCAAAGGAGCAAUCCGCUCUGAGAUGGACCCGCGGCGCAUUAGCUAGUUGGUGAGGUAACGGCUCACCAAGGCGACGAUGCGUAGCCGACCUGAGAGGGUGAUCGGCCACAUUGGAACUGAGACACGGUCCAGACUCCUACGGGAGGCAGCAGUGGGGAAUAUUGCGCAAUGGGGGAAACCCUGACGCAGCAACGCCGCGUGAGUGAUGAAGGUCUUCGGAUUGUAAAGCUCUGUCUUUGGGGACGAUAAUGACGGUACCCAAGGAGGAAGCCACGGCUAACUACGUGCCAGCAGCCGCGGUAAUACGUAGGUGGCAAGCGUUGUCCGGAUUUACUGGGCGUAAAGAGUAUGUAGGCGGAUAUUUAAGUCAGAUGUGAAAUUCCCGGGCUUAACCUGGGCGCUGCAUUUGAAACUGGGUAUCUAGAGUGCGGGAGAGGAAAGUGGAAUUCCUAGUGUAGCGGUGAAAUGCGUAGAGAUUAGGAAGAACACCAGUGGCGAAGGCGACUUUCUGGACCGUAACUGACGCUGAGAUACGAAAGCGUGGGGAGCAAACAGGAUUAGAUACCCUGGUAGUCCACGCC
rnacentral:rRNA from 1 species